rnacentral:rRNA from 1 species
AGCAGCCGCGGUAAUUCCAGCUCCAAUAGCGUAUAUUAAAGUUGUUGCAGUUAAAAAGCUCGUAGUUGAACUCCGGGGUUUACCCAUUGGUCAGGCUUAAUUGUCUGUACUGGUGAGAUAAAUCUCUACCUUCUGAGGAACUUUCAUGUCAUUAAUUUGGUGUGAUUGGAAAUCAGGACUGUUACUUUGAAAAAAUUAGAGUGUUUAAAGCAGACUAACGUCUGAAUACAUUAGCAUGGAAUAAUGAAAUAGGACGGACUGAUUCUAUUUCGUUGGUUUCUAGGAUCACCGUAAUGAUUAAUAGGGAUAGUUGGGGGCAUUAGUAUUCAAUUGUCAGAGGUGAAAUUCUUGGAUUUAUUGAAGACUAACUACUGCGAAAGCAUUUGCCAAGGAUGUUUUCAUUAAUCAAGAACGAGAGUUAGGGGAUCGAAGACGAUCAGAUACCGUCGUAGUCUUAACCAUAAACUAUGCCGACUAGGGAUCGGACGAAGUUAAUUUUCAUAAUGACGCGUUCGGCACC